GAUGAACGCUAGCGGCAGGCUUAACACAUGCAAGUCGAGGGGUAUAUGCUUUCGGGUAUAGAGACCGGCGCACGGGUGCGUAACGCGUAUGCAACCUACCUUUCACAGAGGGAUAGCCCAGAGAAAUUUGGAUUAAUACCUCAUAGUAUAAUGAUGUGGCAUCACAAUAUUAUUAAAGUUCCAACGGGGAAAGAUGGGCAUGCGUCCCAUUAGCUAGAUGGUAAGGUAACGGCUUACCAUGGCAACGAUGGGUAGGGGUCCUGAGAGGGAGAUCCCCCACACUGGUACUGAGACACGGACCAGACUCCUACGGGAGGCAGCAGUGAGGAAUAUUGGUCAAUGGGCGCAAGCCUGAACCAGCCAUGCCGCGUGCAGGAUGAAGCAUCUAUGGUGUGUAAACUGCUUUUGUACGGGAAGAAACACCGGUUCGUGAACCGGCUUGACGGUACCGUAAGAAUAAGGAUCGGCUAACUCCGUGCCAGCCGCCGCGGUAAG
rnacentral:rRNA from 1 species